GAUGAAGAACGCAGCGAAAUGCGAUACGUAAUGUGAAUUGCAGAAUUCAGUGAAUCAUCGAAUCUUUGAACGCAUAUUGCGCUCUCUGGUAUUCCGGAGAGCAUGCUUGUUUGAGUAUCAGUAAACACCUCAACUCCCUUUUCUUUUUUGAAAUUGGAGCUGGACUUGAGUGAUCCCAACGCUUUCUUCCAAGAAAGUGGCGGGUUGCUUGAAAUGCAGGUGCAGCUGAACUUUUCUCUGAGCUAUAAGCAUAUCUAUUUAGUCUGCCUAAAAAACAGAUUAUUACCUUUGCUGCAGCUAACAUAAAGGAGAUGAGUUCUUGUGCUGACUGAUGCAGGAUUCACAGAGACAGCUUUGCGGCUGACUUUGUAAACUCGAUCUCAAAUCAAGUAAGACUACCCGCUGAACUUAAGCAUAUCAAUAAGCGGAGGA
rnacentral:misc_RNA from 1 species